rnacentral:rRNA from 1 species
CCAGACUCCUACGGGAGGCAGCAGUGGGGAAUAUUGCACAAUGGGGGAAACCCUGAUGCAGCAACGCCGCGUGGGUGAAGGAGCGUUUCGGCGCGUAAAGCCCUGUCAGCGGGGAAGAAGAAAGACGGUACCCGACCAAGAAGCCCCGGCUAACUACGUGCCAGCAGCCGCGGUAAUACGUAGGGGGCGAGCGUUAUCCGGAUUUAUUGGGUUUAAAGGGUGCGCAGGCGGAAUGUCAAGUCAGCGGUAAAAUUUCGGGGCUCAACCCCGUCGUGCCGUUGAAACUGGCGUUCUUGAGUGAGCGAGAAGUAUGCGGAAUGCGUGGUGUAGCGGUGAAAUGCAUAGAUAUCACGCAGAACUCCGAUUGCGAAGGCAGCAUACCGGCGCUCAACUGACGCUCAUGCACGAAAGCGUGGGUAUCGAACAGGAUUAGAUACCCCAGUA